UACGUAGGGGGCAAGCGUUGUCCGGAUUUAUUGGGCGUAAAGAGCGUGUAGGCGGCUUUGCAAGUCCGUUGUGAAAACUCGAGCUCAACCUCGAGACGCCGGUGGAAACUGCAAAGCUAGAGUCCGGAAGAGGAGAGUGGAAUUCCUGGUGUAGCGGUGAAAUGCGCAGAUAUCAGGAAGAACACCCGUGGCGAAGGCGGCUCUCUGGGACGGUACUGACGCUGAGACGCGAAAAGCGUGGGGGAGCGAACAGG
rnacentral:rRNA from 1 species